GCCGCACAGGUGACUGGUGUGAGGGGAGCCCUGGCUGGGUGCUGAGGGCUGUCUUCUGGCCCAGGGCUGCUCUGGGGGCCAGCCAGGUGUCCGGGGACCAUUCCCCUGGCCUUGCCGGGCCCUAAUUCCCUUGAAAGCAUGCAUGGAGGUGCAGGAAGCCAAAUGGUCACUCAGGGUCUUUCCUGCUGACACUGGGGCCCCGAAUAUACUUUAUUUAUUUAUCCCAAACCACCCCUCUCCCCUUUAAAAAGAAGUGUGGGUCUCAGUGGUCAGGGCCCAGACAGCUGGGCUUCCCUGUGGGCAAGUGCUUCGGAAGGUCAGGAAGCAGAGUGGGCUUUCUGGGAAUCGUCCCUCUGAUCUUCUGCCCUGUAGCCCCCGCAGAACCCGAGAACCAGAGGUAAGGGCCUGAGAGAGACCCCACCCCUUCGUUAGCACCCCUCCCCCUUCUGAGGAGCUGUACCUCUGCCUCUAUCCUCUGUCCUACCUCCCCCGUGGGGGUGGCCUCCUCUUGGGGCGGAGGAGCAGUAGCCCCCGCCAGCUUGGGAGUCCGGGGCUGGGGCUCAGCCCAGCUCAGCCUUAGAUAGAGCGCUCACUUCCGGGCCUCAGCUUGCCCGUCGGCAAAAUAGCUGUGCGGAGGAGAGGGCUCCGGGACGCUGGCCGCUCGGGUAGCUGUGAGGUUCCCGGCCUUUGCCUGCUCUUUUCUCCGUAAACCUUGUGACGUCCCUGGAAGCAGAAAGCAAGCAGGAAGGGCAAAGUCUCUGGGUGCACAGAGCCUGCUUUGUCUCCUGCUUAAACUGCAGGAAAAAAAAAAAAAAUCACCCUUUCAUUACCGUCUUCUUUCAAUAAGGAAAUGGGCGGAAGCCAGCAUGACCAUGAGUCACAGUGCGAAUCCAGAUCCUCGGGGAGACAUUUAAAGGAUGCUCUGUUACCAGGCUGCCCCUUCCCCCCACCCCAUCGCCACUGGCAGCAAAGGGCCUCUGAGUCGGGGUCUGUUGGUGCUGCCGAAAGCAGGCGCAGGCAUCCAGAAGAACCUGUGAGGUCCAUGGAGGACUGGUCACCACCCCCGUUUCACAGAUGUGGAAGCCCAGCUGUGCUCAGGCAGGACGCCAGGCCGCUCUGACACCAGGUGUGGCCGAGGCGGGCGGCCGUGGAGGAGCGUCUGGGGUCAGUGGUUGACAGGAGUGAGCGAGGAAAGAAGGAAGCCAGCAGGGCAGGGAGGACGAGGCUCGCUCCUGGCCGGGAGCCCGAAAUCCCCAGGGGCCACUGCUGCUGCUGGACGUGGGGUUCCAGCCGGGCUCUGACGGCUCGCAGGAAAGAGUCAGCCGUAUCUACAGGUCAUUUUGGAAGGAGCGGCCGGUCCCCACAGCGUGCCCGCGCACCUGUCACAAAGCCGGCGGAUAAACAUCAGAUUCUGGAAUUUAAUUUAGUGCAGUUCACUGAGCUUCCGGGCUAUAAAGAACAAGUAACUUGGACUAGUGUUCUGUGGUGCACCUAGCAUGACCAGAGCGUGUUUCGUGCCUGUGCUGGGGCAUCGCCUUGCUCUCCGGCGGCCGCAGUCCCUGCCCUUCUGACUGCUUUUCUUCCCUGUGCACCUGAGCCCAUCGAAGUUUCUGGACUAUAAUGUUCACCCCAACCCUGGAACCAGGAGGAAACGUUUACUCGCUGACCAUCUUAGAGGAAGCACAGGCAGGUUGUGCCCGUUUGCAAAUAUACUUUCCGCACUGAGAACUUUGUCACCUUCUAUUCAAGGCAGCAAACAGGCUGGAGCAGAUCCAACGUACCAGGCUGGGCACAGCCCCUGUUUGGGGAAUGAAGGUUUGGGGAAUGGCGUGCCAGACGGUACCCUUUCCGGAGAGAUGCUGAACAGGGGUAAGUGUAACACGUGACCUUUCCCAUUUGCAGGAAAACCCGUCUUGCGUGGAGCAAUCCCCCCGAGCAGGCCUGGUGGGGGGGACGGGAGGCGUUUUGAAUUUAUGAAGGAAAGAGGUGGCAGUUACUUACUGGCAGUAGAACAUGAUGUAGAAAUAAAGAGCAGUUUGUAGCAGAAGUUUUCUAACUUUAUUUCCCAUGUCUAUUGGUAAAAAAAA